UGGGUGGUAGAAAUCUCAUUUCUAUCUAAACAGAUAAAGACAGCAAGUGGUUCCCCAUCCUUGUCUGUAGCCUCCUGCUAUUCACAGGCCUAAAGAGAAUUCUUAUCACAAGUUGAGUGAUUUCUAGAAGCUCCAAGGUUUCUAAGGGAUUAUUAAGGGAACUUUAAAAACUUGACAAGU